rnacentral:snoRNA from 1 species
AAACCAUGGUGCGGGCACUCUCUUUGCAAGUCCUUGAAUCUCUCCCAAACCUCGAACAAACUCUCAUCUGCUUGUUGA